UAAGACAUUUGUAGCCUGGUGUG
rnacentral:piRNA from 1 species